rnacentral:rRNA from 1 species
CCUACGGGCGGCAGCAGUAAGGAAUCUUCCGCAAUGGGCGAAAGCCUGACGGAGCAACGCCGCGUGGGCGAUGAAGGCCUUCGGGUCGUAAAGCCCUUUUCUGUGGGACGAUAAUGACGGUACCACAGGAAUAAGCCACGGCUAACUACGUGCCAGCAGCCGCGGUAAUACGUAGGGGCCAAGCGUUACCCGGAUUUACUGGGCGUAAAGCGCGCGUAGGUGGGGCCUUAAGUCGGGCGUGAAAGCCCCAGGCUCAACCUGGGGAGGCCGUCCGAAACUGAGGCCCUUGAGGGCGAGAGAGGUUGGUGGAAUUCCCGGUGGAGCGGUGAAAUGCGUAGAGAUCGGGAGGACCCCCAGUGGGGAGGCGGGCCCCCUGGCUCGUUCCUGACACUGAGGUGCGAAAGCGUGGGGAGCAAACCGGAUUAGAUACCCGGGUAGU